rnacentral:rRNA from 1 species
GGGUUGUGAGGUUAAGCGACUAAGCGUACACGGUGGAUGCCCUGGCAGUCAGAGGCGAUGAAGGGCGUGCUAAUCUGCGAUAAGCGCCGGUAAGGUGAUAUGAACCGUUAUAACCGGCGAUACCCGAAUGGGGAAACCCAGUGUGAUUCGUCACACUAUCAUUAACUGAAUCCAUAGGUUAAUGAGGCGAACCGGGGGAACUGAAACAUCUAAGUACCCCGAGGAAAAGAAAUCAACCGAGAUUCCCCCAGUAGCGGCGAGCGAACGGGGAGGAGCCCAGAGCCUGAAUCAGCAUGUGUGUUAGUGGAAGCGUCUGGAAAGGCGCGCGAUACAGGGUGACAGCCCCGUACACAAAAGCGCAUGUGCUGUGAGCUCGAUGAGUAGGGCGGGACACGUGGUAUCCUGUCUGAAUAUGGGGGGACCAUCCUCCAAGGCUAAAUACUCCUGACUGACCGAUAGUGAACCAGUACCGUGAGGGAAAGGCGAAAAGAACCCCGGCGAGGGGAGUGAAAAAGAACCUGAAACCGUGUACGUACAAGCAGUGGGAGCACAGGUUUACCUGUGUGACUGCGUACCUUUUGUAUAAUGGGUCAGCGACUUAUAUUCUGUAGCAAGGUUAACCGAAUAGGGGAGCCGGAGGGAAACCGAGUCUUAAUUGGGCGUUAAGUUGCAGGGUAUAGACCCGAAACCCGGUGAUCUAGCCAUGGGCAGGUUGAAGGUUGGGUAACACUAACUGGAGGACCGAACCGACUAAUGUUGAAAAAUUAGCGGAUGACCUGUGGCUGGGGGUGAAAGGCCAAUCAAACCGGGAGAUAGCUGGUUCUCCCCGAAAGCUAUUUAGGUAGCGCCUCGUGAAUUCAUCUCCGGGGGUAGAGCACUGUUUCGGCUAGGGGGCCAUCCCGGCUUACCAACCCGAUGCAAACUGCGAAUACCGGAGAAUGUUAUCACGGGAGACACACGGCGGGUGCUAACGUCCGUCGUGAAGAGGGAAACAACCCAGACCGCCAGCUAAGGUCCCAAAGUCAUGGUUAAGUGGGAAACGAUGUGGGAAGGCCCAGACAGCCAGGAUGUUGGCUUAGAAGCAGCCAUCAUUUAAAGAAAGCGUAAUAGCUCACUGGUCGAGUCGGCCUGCGCGGAAGAUGUAACGGGGCUAAACCAUGCACCGAAGCUGCGGCAGCGACACUGUGUGUUGUUGGGUAGGGGAGCGUUCUGUAAGCCUGUGAAGGUGUGUCGUGAGGCAUGCUGGAGGUAUCAGAAGUGCGAAUGCUGACAUAAGUAACGAUAAAGCGGGUGAAAAGCCCGCUCGCCGGAAGACCAAGGGUUCCUGUCCAACGUUAAUCGGGGCAGGGUGAGUCGACCCCUAAGGCGAGGCCGAAAGGCGUAGUCGAUGGGAAACGGGUUAAUAUUCCCGUACUUGGUGUUACUGCGAAGGGGGGACGGAGAAGGCUAUGUUGGCCGGGCGACGGUUGUCCCGGUUUAAGUGUGUAGGUGUGUGUUCCAGGUAAAUCCGGUUCACUUUAACACUGAGGCGUGACGACGAGGCACUACGGUGCUGAAGCAACAAAUGCCCUGCUUCCAGGAAAAGCCUCUAAGCAUCAGGUAACAUCAAAUCGUACCCCAAACCGACACAGGUGGUCAGGUAGAGAAUACCAAGGCGCUUGAGAGAACUCGGGUGAAGGAACUAGGCAAAAUGGUGCCGUAACUUCGGGAGAAGGCACGCUGACACGUAGGUGAAGUGAUUUACUCAUGGAGCUGAAGUCAGUCGAAGAUACCAGCUGGCUGCAACUGUUUAUUAAAAACACAGCACUGUGCAAACACGAAAGUGGACGUAUACGGUGUGACGCCUGCCCGGUGCCGGAAGGUUAAUUGAUGGGGUCAGCGCAAGCGAAGCUCCUGAUCGAAGCCCCGGUAAACGGCGGCCGUAACUAUAACGGUCCUAAGGUAGCGAAAUUCCUUGUCGGGUAAGUUCCGACCUGCACGAAUGGCGUAAUGAUGGCCAGGCUGUCUCCACCCGAGACUCAGUGAAAUUGAACUCGCUGUGAAGAUGCAGUGUACCCGCGGCAAGACGGAAAGACCCCGUGAACCUUUACUAUAGCUUGACACUGAACAUUGAGCCUUGAUGUGUAGGAUAGGUGGGAGGCUUUGAAGUGUGGACGCCAGUCUGCAUGGAGCCGACCUUGAAAUACCACCCUUUAAUGUUUGAUGUUCUAACGUGGACCCGUUACCCGGGUUGCGGACAGUGUCUGGUGGGUAGUUUGACUGGGGCGGUCUCCUCCUAAAGAGUAACGGAGGAGCACGAAGGUUGGCUAAUCCUGGUCGGACAUCAGGAGGUUAGUGCAAUGGCAUAAGCCAGCUUGAACUGCGAGCGUGACGGCGCGAGCAGGUGCGAAAGCAGGUCAUAGUGAUCCGGUGGUUCUGAAUGGAAGGGCCAUCGCUCAACGGAUAAAAGGUACUCCGGGGAUAACAGGCUGAUACCGCCCAAGAGUUCAUAUCGACGGCGGUGUUUGGCACCUCGAUGUCGGCUCAUCACAUCCUGGGGCUGAAGUAGGUCCCAAGGGUAUGGCUGUUCGCCAUUUAAAGUGGUACGCGAGCUGGGUUUAGAACGUCGUGAGACAGUUCGGUCCCUAUCUGCCGUGGGCGCUGGAGAACUGAGGGGGGCUGCUCCUAGUACGAGAGGACCGGAGUGGACGCAUCACUGGUGUUCGGGUUGUCAUGCCAAUGGCACUGCCCGGUAGCUAAAUGCGGAAGAGAUAAGUGCUGAAAGCAUCUAAGCACGAAACUUGCCCCGAGAUGAGUUCUCCCUGAGACUUAGAGUCUCCUGAAGGAACGUUGAAGACGACGACGUUGAUAGGCCGGGUGUGUAAGCGCAGCGAUGCGUUGAGCUAACCGGUACUAAUGAACCGUGAGGCUUAACCUUACAACGCCGAAG